GAGUUUGAUCCUGGCUCAGGAUGAACGCUGGCGGCGUGCCUAAUACAUGCAAGUCGAGCGAACAGAUAAGGAGCUUGCUCCUUUGACGUUAGCGGCGGACGGGUGAGUAACACGUGGGUAACCUACCUAUAAGACUGGAAUAACUCCGGGAAACCGGGGCUAAUGCCGGAUAAUAUUUAGAACCGCAUGGUUCUAAAGUGAAAGAUGGUUUUACUAUCACUUAUAGAUGGACCCGCGCCGUAUUAGCUAGUUGGUGGGGUAAUGGCUUACCAAGGCAACGAUACGUAGCCGACCUGAGAGGGUGAUCGGCCACACUGGAACUGAGACACGGUCCAGACUCCUACGGGAGGCAGCAGUAGGGAAUCUUCCGCAAUGGGCGAAAGCCUGACGGAGCAACGCCGCGUGAGUGAUGAAGGUCUUCGGAUCGUAAAACUCUGUUAUUAGGGAAGAACAAAUGUGUAAGUAACUGUGCACGUCUUGACGGUACCUAAUCAGAAAGCCACGGCUAACUACGUGCCAGCAGC
rnacentral:rRNA from 1 species